GAUGAACGCUGGCGGCGUGCUUAACACAUGCAAGUCGAACGGUGAAGGCGGAGCUUGCUCUGCUGGAUCAGUGGCGAACGGGUGAGUAACACGUGAGCAAUCUGCCCCUGACUCUGGGAUAAGCGCUGGAAACGGCGUCUAAUACUGGAUACGAGCUGCGAAGGCAUCUUCAGCAGCUGGAAAGAAUUUCGGUCAGGGAUGAGCUCGCGGCCUAUCAGCUUGUUGGUGAGGUAAUGGCUCACCAAGGCGUCGACGGGUAGCCGGCCUGAGAGGGUGACCGGCCACACUGGGACUGAGACACGGCCCAGACUCCUACGGGAGGCAGCAGUGGGGAAUAGUGCACAAUGGGCGAAAGCCUGAUGCAGCAACGCCGCGUGAGGGACGACGGCCUGCGGGUUGUAAACCUCUUUUAGCAGGGAAGAAGCGAAAGUGACGGUACCUGCAGAAAAAGCGCCGGCUAACUACGUG
rnacentral:rRNA from 1 species